CAGGGUAUAGCUAAAAUAGUAAAGCAUCUCCCUUACACCGAGAAGUCAUUCGUGCGAAUCGAAUUACCCUGA
rnacentral:tRNA from 1 species